rnacentral:rRNA from 1 species
GACGAACGCUGGCGGCGUGCUUAACACAUGCAAGUCGAACGGAAAGGCGCUGCUUUUGUGGGGUGCUCGAGUGGCGAACGGGUGAGUAACACGUGAGUAACCUGCCCUUGACUUUGGGAUAACUUCAGGAAACUGGGGCUAAUACCGGAUAGGAGCUCCUGCUGCAUGGUGGGGGUUGGAAAGUUUCGGCGGUUGGGGAUAGACUCGCGGCUUAUCAGCUUGUUGGUGGGGUAGUGGCUUACCAAGGCUUUGACGGAUAGCCGGCCUGAGAGGGUGACCGGCGACAUGGGGACUGAGAUACGGCCCAGACUCGUACGGGAGGCAGCAGUGGGGAAUAUUGCACAAUGGGCGGAAGCGUGAUGCAGCAAUGCCGCGUGCGGGAUGACGGCCUUCGGGGUGUAAACCGCUUUCGCCUGUGACGAAGCGUGAGUGACGGUAAUGGGUAAAGAAGCACCGGCUAACUACGUG